AGCAGCAAGCUAACCGCCUCUCAUUGACACUGGAUGGUUUGUUAGGGGGAAAUUUGGGGGAAGGGGAAUUAGGCUUGUUUACGGUCAGCUGUAACCGAAACUUAAAAGAACGUGCAAAUAGAUGCAUAGAUAUCUAUAUAAGAUAAGAGAUUUAUAUGUAUAGAUAGUAUUUUCGUUUUGUGUCACAGACUGUGACAGAGAUGGCUAUCUCCAUGACUACCCCAUUCAUGUUUGAGAGAAUGUACAGUAACGUGAUGAUGACUGCCCUGAGCACAUUUAGCACACUUGUGCAAAGCUUCUGCUUAAGUAUGCCCUUUAAAUACUGCUGAGUGUCAACAGAGGCGCAAAUUAAUAUUUAACUGGUUCUCCCUGAAGCAUUCGCCCGCUUAAGGACCAGUUCAGCGGUAUAUUUAGCAUACAAGUAUUUGCAGAUUCGAAGAAACAGUCUGAAACCUACCGACUGUUUCUUUGAAUCAACUGACUGUUCCUUUGAAUCAACUGACUGUUCCUUUGAAUCGGCAGACUGUUCCUUUGAAUCAGCAGACUGUUCAUUCUAAUCAACAGACUGUUCCUCAUAAUCGAAAGACUGCUCUUUUUAAUCGACAGACUGUUCCUUUGAAUCGACAGACUGUUCCUUUAAAUCGACAGAUUGUUCCUUUAAAUCGACAGACUGUUCCUUUAAAUCGGCAGACUGUUCCUUUGAAUCGACAGACUGUCCCUUGCAAUCAAGGCUGUUCCUUUAAAUCUGCAUAUUGUUCCUUUGAAUCAGCAGACUGUUCCUUCGGAUCGACCGACUGUUCCUUCAAAUCGACAGACUGUUCCUCGAAUAAACAGACUGUUCCUUUGAAUCAACAGACUGUUCCUUUAAAUCUGCAUAUUGUUCAUUUGAAUCGACUGUUCCUUUGAAUCGACUGUUCCUUUAAACCGGUCGACUGUUCUUUUUAAUCAACAGACUGUUCCUUUGAAUGGACUGUUCCUUCGAAUCCGCAGACUGUUCCUUUGAAUCCAGCCGACUGUUCCUAUGAACGGACUGUUCCUACGAACCGACUGUUCCUCUAACGACGGCGUGUGUCCCUCCAGGUGCUGAUGUCUCGCUCCGUCAUGUACGCCAUGUGCCCGUUCGCCGUGGCCUCCGUCGUCUGCUCCUUGGGGAACUUCCUGUUGCCCAUAGAGACCAAGGGCCGAGCGCUGCUGCAAUCCUCCUGAAGAACACAACGACCCAGACACCGCAAGACACUCCUGUGAAUAAGAGAAAUAUUAGUUGUUUAACGCUGUUUGUUUAAUUGUCAUUAAUAAUUAAUUACAAAAACACA